rnacentral:rRNA from 1 species
GGGGGGAGCAAGCGUUGUUCGGAUUUACUGGGCGUAAAGGGCGCGUAGGCGGCCACCGCAAGUCGACUGUGAAAUCUCCGGGCUUAACCCGGAAAGGUCAGCCGAUACUGCGGGGCUAGAGUGCAGAAGGGGCAACUGGAAUUCUCGGUGUAGCGGUGAAAUGCGUAGAUAUCGAGAGGAACACCUGCGGCGAAGGCGGGUUGCUGGGCUGACACUGACGCUGAGGCGCGAAAGCUAGGGGAGCGAACGGGAUUAGAUACCCCGGUAGUCCUAGCCUUAAACGAUGAAUGCUUGGUGUCUGGGGUUUUAUAGUCCCUGGGUGCCGUCGCUAACGCUUUAAGCAUUCCGCCUGGGGAGUACGGUCGCAAGACUG